GCGCUCACUUCGGCAGCACAUGUGCUAAAAUUGGAACGAUACAGAGAUUAGCAUGGCCCCUGCGCAAGGAUGACACGCAAAUUUGUGAAGCGUUCCAUGUUUUU
ensembl:snRNA U6 U6 spliceosomal RNA